GAUGAACGCUGGCGGCGUGCUUAACACAUGCAAGUCGAACGAAGCAAUUUUCUACGAUCCCUUCGGGGUGACGGAUUAUUGACUGAGUGGCGGACGGGUGAGUAACGCGUGGGUAACCUGCCUUGUACAGGGGGACAACAGUUGGAAACGACUGCUAAUACCGCAUAAGCGCACAGCNUCGCAUGANGCAGUGUGAAAAGUUUUUUCGGUACAAGAUGGACCCGCGUCUGAUUAGCUAGUUGGUGAGGUAACGGCCCACCAAGGCGACGAUCAGUAGCCGACCUGAGAGGGUGACCGGCCACAUUGGGACUGAGACACGGCCCAAACUCCUACGGGAGGCAGCAGUGGGGAAUAUUGCACAAUGGGCGCAAGCCUGAUGCAGCGACGCCGCGUGAGCGAAGAAGUAUUUCGGUAUGUAAAGCUCUAUCAGCAGGGAAGAUAAUGACGGUAC
rnacentral:rRNA from 1 species